AAGUGUAUGAUGAUAUAAUUUGCGGUCUAGGGCGGCUACCCUGGGGCACAGCCAUGCUCCGCAAUGGGGUUGCCGCGGCAUGCGA